CCCAGUGUGGCUGAUGACAGCACUGCUGCUGAGGCUCUGGGAUUGUUCAGUCUCAAAGUAAACCCCUGACGUGCCCUGG